rnacentral:rRNA from 1 species
CAAUAGCGUAUAUUAAAGUUGUUGCGGUUAAAAAGCUCGUAGUUGGAUUUCUGCUGAGAACGACCGGUCCGCCCUCUGGGUGUGUAUCUGGCUCUUUCUUGGCAUCUUCUUGGUGAACGUUGCUGCACUUGACUGUGUGGAGCGCUACCCAGGACUUUUACUUUGAGGAAAUUAGAGUGUUUCAAGCAGGCAUACGCCUUGAAUACAUUAGCAUGGAAUAAUAAGAUAGGACCUCGGUUCUAUUUUGUUGGUUUCUAGAGCUGAGGUAAUGAUUAAUAGGGACAGUUGGGGGUAUUCGUAUUCCUGUGGAAGAGGUGAAAUUCUUGGAUCACAGGAAGACGAUCUUAGGCGAAAGCAUUUACCAUGGAUGUUUUCAUUAA